rnacentral:rRNA from 1 species
GACUAUAUGUUUAACGGCCGCGGUAUUUUAACCGUGCGAAGGUAGCGCAAUCACUUGUCUUUUAAAUGGAGACCUGUAUGAAUGGCAUAACGAGGGCUUAACUGUCUCCUUUUUCAAGUCAAUGAAAUUGAUCUCCCCGUGCAGAAGCGGGGAUAAAAACAUAAGACGAGAAGACCCUAUGGAGCUUUAGACACCAAGGUAUAUCAUGCUAAACACCCCAGACAAAAGACUAAGCCAAAUGAUUUAUACCCCUAUGUCUUUGGUUGGGGCGACCGCGGGGAAAUAAAAAACCCCCAUGUGGAAUAGGGGCACUGCCCCUACAACCAAGAGCUGCAGCUCUAAUAAACAGAAUUUCUGACCAAUAAGAUCCGGCAACGCCGAUCAACGGACCGAGUUACCCUAGGGAUAACAGCGCAAUCCCCUUUUAGAGCCCAUAUCGACAAGGGGGUUUACGACCUCGAUGUUGGAUCAGGACAUCCUAAUGGUGCAGCCGCUAUUAAGGGUUCGUUUGUUCAACGAUUAAAGUCCUACGUGAUCUGAGU